rnacentral:rRNA from 1 species
AACGAACGCUGGCGGCAUGCCUAACACAUGCAAGUCGAACGAGACCUUCGGGUCUAGUGGCGCACGGGUGCGUCACGCGUGGGAAUCUGCCCUUCGGUUGGGCAUAACUGAGAGAAAUUUCAGCUAAUACCUUAUAAUGUCUUCGGACCAAAGAUUUAUCGCCGAGGGAUGAGCCCGCGUAGGAUUAGGUAGUUGGUAGGGUAAUGGCCUACCACGCCGUCGAUCCUUAGCUGGUCUGAGAGGAUGAUCAGCCACACUGGGACUGAGACACGGCCCAGACUCCUACGGGAGGCAGCAGUGGGGAAUAGUGGACAGUGGGCGAAAGCCUGAUGCAGCAAGGCCGCGAGAGUGAUGAAGGCCUUAGGGUUGUAAAGCUCUUUUACCCGGGAUGAUAAUGACAGUACCGGGAGAAUAAGCCCCGGCUAACUCCGUG